AGUUGGUGACCCAGAUAGGAUUACCUUCACUGGCUGGACACUGCUCAGUCGGAGGCUGCUACAGCUGAGAAAACUGGGACCUCUGACAACAAGCCAGCAGAAAGUAAAAAUUCUUACCAAUUCAGUCUUCCAGGCUGCAAAAUCCAAUGGAAGCAAGAGUGAAGUGUUCCUGAAAAACUUCAUCUUUAGAGAGAUUCAUGGAAAGGACUUUUAAAGUAUUCUAGAAUAUAGAUUUCUGACAAUUUUAAGAUUGUCAAACUGAACUGGGUAAGAAAUUUCAAAAUUAAUGGAAAAACUGGAUUCAAGUAUAACAAAUAUUAAUUUCAUGGGACUGAAUGAACUGAUGAGGAUGAUUAUAAUUUUUUAUGACUUUUUGUUUGAAACAUCGCUGGUCCUUUUAAGUUUUGUUUUUCCAGAUUUAAGCAAACAUUCUUCUCUUUCCUUAGAGUAAUUUGGUAAAAUCUAUCUUUGUGAACAAAGAUGAAAAAUUACUUUUAUUCCCUGCCUGAUCCCUCCAGGAUUCAGAAACUCUCAGUGAGUAUUCUUAUUUUCACAGCAGUUAUUUGCCUAAGUUCCCUAAGAAUCUGUUCUCCUUGUAACAGGACACAAUUAGAAACGUUGGUUACAUCACCAAGGCCUUGAAUGAAAUGUCAUAUUUGAGAGAAAUGUAUAUAGACUCAUAUAUGACCAGACAGCUUUAAGGAACUAAGGUUGACUUUAUGGAACCAAUAAAGCCCAUUGGAAAAAUAAGCCUGGACAACUUGAUAUCAACUUUAGAGAAAUCACCAUAGUAGCUCAUGUAGGGGCAAUCUUUGUGCCUGUUACUGUGUGGCUACUCAGAAAAAUCACCAGAGACAUUCAAACUGCAAUCCAGUAAAUAUAUCAGAUUGACAUUGCCUGCCCUCACUCCAUCUGAAAGUGUCAUGAGCUGGACAUUGAGCAAUCUUCCCAACUGACCGCCUUCAGAACGCAGACACUAAGAUUAUAGUCAGCUCCAAUCAUUAACCAUUGUUUUCUUUUGUUUCCAUAGAAAUGCCUCUUAUAAAGUACCUGAUUGCUUGCACCAUAGGCCUCACUUUUGGAGCCCACCUGCCUCACUGCCUCCUAAAAUGAGACACAACUGUUUAACUAAACUGAUCUAUUUUCAGACUAAGAGACUGGUUCAAUAGAUGGAGCAAUCUACCAACUCAACUUCUGGACUAUAAAAUUUCUUGAAUAAAUUUAAAGGCAGGACAGGAGGAUUUCAGAAUGAGCCUCCCCAAAAUGUGCCACUUUGCCAUGUGGAUUUAUUUGAGCUGAAGACAGUCAAGGCCCAAAUGACUCAGGAAGAGCUUUUCACCUUUCCCCUUAACUGCCCAAAAGAAUUUAGAUUCGGGGCCUGGUCCAGGAAGAGAGCUAUCACCAAAGAUAGCUACAAAGAAUAUGGGCUAGGUGUGGUAAAUUGGGUGGGGAGAAGCUAGGCAGGGCCUGUGGGCCAAAUUCCUCUCUGUGUCCCAUUGUCUCUGUGUGGCAUGGCAAACAUUUGUUUACCAAACAUUUGCUUUUCCCAUCUUCCUGUAAAUUGUCUUCCUUCCGUUUGAAGCCCUAGACCCCUACCCUUUUCUCCUCAGCUCAGGAUGGCAUAUAAGUCUUAAUUGCCUGACUUCCUGUGGGUCUCAUAUUCUUAUGGGGCUCCCGUACACACAUAAUUAAAUUUGUUUUUCUCCUGUUAA